UCCGAAGGUGGCUAUCGUUGUUCGGAAUUACUGGGCGUAAAGCGCGCGUAGGCGGUGAAGCAAGUCGAAAGUGAAAUCCCGGGGCUUAACUCCGGAACUGCUUUCGAAACUGCUUUGCUUGAAUAUGGCAGAGGAUGAUGGAAUUCCUAGUGUAGAGGUGAAAUUCGUAGAUAUUAGGAGGAACACCAGUGGCGAAGGCGGUCAUCUGGGCCAAUAUUGACGCUAAGGCGCGAAAGCGUGGGGAGAAAACAGG
rnacentral:rRNA from 1 species